UGUAAAUGAAAAUUCAGAAAAGAUGUUAUAAAGCUUGUUAAAAGAGAGUAGAUUUCUAUAACAUAAACUCGAAUGAGUACUUAAGACACCACAUUGCAAUUAAUUAACCUCUCUCAUGUGUCAUGCUAAAAAAAUAUAAAUGUUGUUACCAACAAAUUAAACAGGGCAAAAUUUUUCAAAUAGCAGUCUAUUAAAGUUGGCCCGGAGUAUAAUAUAGACAAAAAUAAAACCUAUUUCUUGUUGUUUUGAGUCCUAACCGAGAUUUGGCCGUUCUCUUGAUUUGGUCGGUGUCGCGAGUUAUUUUGAAAAUGAAAUACUAAUAGCAACCAGUUGGCGGCAUAAAACAACAGUUAACCAGGUUCAAACAAUAUAAGUUCCAUGAUGGUGGAAUUGGAACGAAAAAUUAGUGAUUCUUUGUCAAUAAAAAAACAAAUUUACGAGUCCCUAUACAAAUUUUAUUUCAAGGCCUAAUUAAGUAGAAUGAACCGAGUCCAAGCACCGAGCACAAUAGCACAUAGUCAUGUCAAUAUCUCACUAACAAACACAAGCAAAAACCGAAAGCCAUACAUAACAGCAGAAUAAAAUUGCAAAACGUAUAGCAGCAGCGGCGGCUUAAUAAAAGAAGAAUGAAAAAAUUGAUUACCUAGAGCAGGUGGGCUUCAGGAGGGACAAGUUCAACAAACUCCACAUAGUUAUCUGUAAUGGAAACCCGUGUUGUAAAGGUUUUGGGAUACUUAUCAUCUUCGUCUAUUUGGUGCACUGCCAUAGCUGUAAACAUUAAAUCCACCAUAGAGCAUGUGGAUAAAUCCCCACUUGCAUUCACCAUGUCCAGCAAAUUAUAUUUGAUUUCCUACACAAAUAAUAAAACAAGAAGCAAUUGUUAUAAUCAUUUAUUAAUACACAACAAAUUACUUUUAAGAAGGGAAAAAAAAAAAAAAAAAAAGAGAUACAUACAUGUGUUUUGUUGUAGACAUCAAUAGCUAAUGUGGCACAUUCUCUGAGGACAUUCAUUGAUUUUUCAUCACAGUGGGUCGAAUCUCCGUCGUACAAGACAGAGCAAUCUAGCGAUUUCUUCGCCGGAAUGUUUUUCGUUGAAUUAUUCUCCAGUUUCUCAAUACAAAAUGGAUUAUGCCUACAUGUGGAUAGAUAUAUUCUCAAUAACAAAUAGAAGCAAGAUAAAUAAAAAUAAUAAAACAUAUUUAAAAAAAAUUUGAUAAAUUUGAUUACAUAUGGAAGGCUUUCCAGUCAUCACCAGGGACAAAUUCAAAACCCACUGCAUAUACAUAAUGACAUGUGACGGAAACCCGAGCUCGAACAGUUCGGGUUUUCUUAUCAACAGCAUCCUCCUCCUCCUCAGGCUCAGGCUUAACGGUAAAAAUAAUAUCCGACGUACCGCCUGCAUACAUUGAUAUGGUUGCAAACAGCAGCUCCACAAAACAGUAUUUCUUCAGCUGCACACACAAGCACAAGCGUAAUUAUUAAUUAAUUUAAUUAAUGAAAUUCAUUAAGGUGGACUGAAAAUAAACGCCAAAAUUAAAUUAAUUUUAUAAGAAAAGGGAUAGAAAAUAGAGAAGAUACACACAUACAUGUGUUUUGUUGUAGACAUCAACAGCAGUUUCGGCAUAUUCCACCAAUAGUUUCAAGUGACUAGGAACAUGACAGCUGGCGGGAUCUCCGUCGUACCAGACGGCUCCACCUACUCCAACUGGUCGAUUGCGCUCAACGUCGCCUAAUUCACCUACUCCGACACAAGAAGCCACAACGUCGCCGAAUUCACAAGAAGCCAUCGCCAUCGUUAGUUCGUUCGUUCUCUCUCUCUCUCUCUCUCUCUCUCUCUAGAAACCCUAAACUUUUUUCCCCUUUCGUUGGUUUAUAUAAUUUACUUAUUAUUACUAUAACCACAAAAAAGUUGAGAUAUAUAAUGGGCUGGACUUUGAGAAUGGGUUGGGCUGCGACCCAUUAAAAUUGGAAAUUAGGAAGUUCGUAUAAUAGAUGAUUUAAUUUUUGGAUUUCUUUAUAAGCAACUCCAAUAUUAAACAUCAAAAUUGGAUUAUCAAAUACUCAUUUGAUAAUUAAGAUAAUAUUUUAAUAUUCAUUUAUAAUUUAUCUACUUCAAUUAUGGUUAUCAAAAUUAAUAAUCAAUUGGAGGUUUUUUAAUGGUUUUAUUUUUAAUUGCCACGUGUCAUUUUGUGAUUGAAUGUUUAUGUUAGUUAUUUUUUUGAUAACUCAAUUUACAUGAUGUAUUUCUACAUUCAAAGAUGUAGAAUAAAAGAUUAUUUCUUUAUAACAACACCAAUUCAAGUAAAACAAAAUGGAAGGAAAAUAAAAAAAAAGGUUGGGUUCAAUGUAUUCUUUUAAAAGAUCUUAUUUUUCUCCAACAGCUUAUUUUUUAAAAAUUAAGUUUUUUUUUUCCCUAAAUUAGGAGCUUGUACAAAUAAUUUUGAAUUUCUUCACAACUUAUUUUAAUUUAUUGUGAUUUUAGAUAAAUUAUAAUUAUAAAUAUUAAUUUAUUUAAUAUAAAAUAAUAAGAUCGCCUCCAAAAGAAUAGACUUUGAAGGUCAGCUGCUCCAUAAUGUAAUUGGAGAUAGCACUAGUGCGAACCAGUUCAAAAGAAUAGAUAUUAUCUCUGUAUUUUUGGAAAAAGACAAAAAAUAAUUAAAAAAUAAUAAUAAUAAAUUAUAGUGGUAAAUUAAAGUAAUUAUUAUUCAUAUUUAAGUGGGACUAAGUCGGUCGUGUACAUGUCUUAAUUCUGAAUAGUCAACCACUCCAUUCUAAUACUAAUUUGAAUUAACUAUAAUUAGAUUCAUAAUUAAUGUUGUGAUGAACACUUAUGAACCGGCACUUAAAUACUUAGAUUAGACGAUCAAGUUUGUUUGUUAUUACAAGUGGUUAAGUAAAUCGUAGUAUUAAGCCACGUAGUUCAUUGUAUCAUUUGUAUGGCAUGAAUGAUUGUAAAGUGUGAUAAUUAGCUAAAUCAAUACGGAACCCUAAUGUUGAAAAUUAGCAGCACCAUAAUUAACUUAGAUAAUUAGACUUUAUAUAAUAUUUAGACCAUGUUUGGUUGCCAAGAUAAGUUAUGAUUAACUAAAUAGUUGGACUUAAUUUGAUGGUUUGUAUCCUAAUAAAUUGUCGGGACGACCCGCCAAAAUUAUAUAAGUAUGGUUUAUAUUGUCUUAUCUUGGCUUAUCUUGCCUUUUAGUGAGUUUUUUUGUUAGACGUCGUGAGCUCUAAUAAAAUAAUUGGGUUUCAUUAGAUUGGUUAAUCUUAUCUUGACAGCCAAAUGAGGCCUUAGUAUACUGUAUAAUUUGUCAGACCGACCUAUAAAUAUUUGAAUUUACAUUGAAUUAUUUAAUCUUAUCUAGUAUACUGUAUAAUUUGUCAGAUCGACCCGUAAAUAUUUGUAUUUACACUGAAUUAUUUAAUUUUAUUUUAAUUAAUCUUAUCUUAUGAACCAGACGAGUGCUAAUAUUAUUAUAUUGAAAGUGUGGCAACUAAAAAUAGUUUUUCCACUUUAAUUGAGGUCUCAUAAAACGUGUCAUGUGAUUAUGGUGUAUUGAUUUACACAUGGUCAUAAAAGCGCCUUUACUUUCUUGUCAACAUAUGGUAUCAAUACCACUUUCGACACAUAACUCAUAAAAGCGCGUUUUACUAUAUUUAUAAUUGGACGUUGUUUUAUUUAUCUAUAAACUAAAAUAAUUAGUCAACGCCAAUACCAAAAGUCCAAAACUAUACAAUCGAAAUUAGAUAAGUUGUACCAUAAAAAUAUUACCUAUAAAUUUUGAGACUAGCAACUAUUUAUACCUGUGAUUAAGGUAACAUGGGCCUGGACCUUUAGUCAAAGCUUAAUUAUGCCAGAUGGGCCUAAGUUGGCUAAAACUUAUUAAAGUUGGGCUCAUGCUUAUAUUAUUGAAUUUAAUUUUUAAACUUCAUAUUUUUGGGCUUAGGCUAUGUUUGGCUGUUGAGAUUAAUUAUUAUUAACUAAAUAAUUAGACUUUAUAUAAAUUUUUUUGUUGGACAUCCGGGACCAAUAAAAUAAUAGAAUUUAUAUUAAAUUAUUUAAUUUUAUCUUGUCAGCGACACGAGUGCUAAUAUUAUUAUAUUGAAAGAUUUCCUAUAUAUGUGAUUAGUAACUAUCGAGUAAACUGCAAAAUGUACCCCUGUGUAAUUUCUAAAUAGCAAAAACCCCCCUGUGAUAAAUAAACUAGCAAAAACCCUCCUGUAAAAUUUAGUUAAAGGCGAAAACCCCCUGGUUGACUUGUGUGUGGCUUACUCGCGGGUUGCGCGACUGGGAGUUGGUUUUUGGACGUAAAAUGACGAAAUUGACCCUUAAAAUGUAUUUAUAUGUAUAUAUAUUAUAUGUAUAUAUAUUUUCUUUUUAAUUUGAUUGUUUAAAAAUUAAAAUAUUGUUAAAAAUAGUAAAUAAGUAAAUUAAAAAAUUAUUAAAAAUUUGUUAAUAAAAUUAAGUAUAUAUUUUUUUAAAUACAUAACAAUAAAAUUUAAGUUUUCUUUUGAUGUAGGGAUAAUUUAAAAUAUAUACAAAAAAUAUGUGAUAAUAAAAAUAGAAAUAAAUUAAAAACCCCAUUAUACCUUUAUAAUUAAGAUAUAACAAAAAUAAAAUAAUUAAAAUAUUUAAAAAAUAUAAGGAUAUAUUAAUUGCAAAAUCCCAGGGGUAUUUGGGUCUUUUUAUAUGAAGUCAGCCCUCAAAUGAGUAAUGGGCCGAGUGUGCUAUUUAAAUAAUUUCACAUGGGCUUUUUUGCUAGUUUAUUUAUCAUAGAGGGGUUUUCGCUAUUUAGAGAUUACACAGGGGUACUUUUUGCAGUUUACUCAGUAACUAUUUAUACAUGUGAAUUGUGAUUGAAGGUAACAUGAGCUAGGAGAUUUAGUCAAGCCUUAUUAGCUCGAAUGGGUUAAAAUAUUAGUAAAAUUUAGGUUCUAAACUUAAUAUUUGUAACUGGUUAGCUAAGGUUCAUCUUGAAGGGAUUAGAAAUUUUUCGGGGCUUCGGCCAAAGUAGAAGUUUACGUUUAUUCCAAGAGCUGCCAACAAUGCUUGUCACCUUUUAGCUACAUGGAGGCUGUAAUCACCUAUAAACGAAAAAUUCCGAAAAGAUGUUAAAUGCCCGUAAAACCAUAUAAAGCUGUUAAAACAGUGUAAAUUUCUAUAACAUAAACUCGAUCGAGUACACAUACUCACGACACUACAAUUGCAAUUAAUUAACUCUCUCGCGUGUUCAUGCUAAAAGAUACAAAUGUUGUUACCAACAAUUUGAACAGGGCAAAACUUUUCAAAUAGAGUUUGCAUCAAUGAAUUGACUUCAAGCAAAACUUAUAGCAGCAGCGGCAGAUGAGGUUCAUGAGGGACAAGUUCAACAAACUCCACAUAGUUAUGUGUCAUCGAAACCCGAAUUGUACAGGUUUUGGGAUACUUAUAAUCUUUGUGUGUUUGGUGCAUUGCCAUAGCUGUAAACAUUAAAUCCACCAUAGAGCCUGUGGAUAAAUCCCCACUUGCAUUCACCA
rnacentral:lncRNA from 1 species